rnacentral:rRNA from 1 species
AGAGUUUGAUCCUGGCUCAGGACGAACGCUGGCGGCGUGCUUAACACAUGCAAGUUGGGCGACGGUCAUAUGAAGUGGUAACACGGAAUGUGAUACGGAGCGGCGGACGGGUGAGUACAACAUGAGAAGCUAUCCUUCAACGGGGGACAACGUUUAGAAAUGGACGCUAAUACCCCAUAAGCCGAGAGGUUAAAACGGAGACGCGAUGGAGGAGGUGCUCGUGGCCUAUCAGCUAGUUGGUGAGGUAAUGGCUCACCAAGGCGACGACGGGUAGCCGGCCUGAGAGGGCGAACGGCCACACUGGAACUGAGAUACGGUCCAGACUCCUACGGGAGGCAGCAGUGGGGAAUAUUGGGCAAUGGGAGAAAUCCUGACCCAGCAACGCCGCGUGAACGAAGAAGGCCCUUGGGUCGUAAAGUUCUUUUAUAUGGGAAGAAUAAGAUGACGGUACCAUAUGAAUAAGCCCCGGCUAACUACGUGCCAGCAGCCGCGGUAAUACGUAGGGGGCGAGCGUUGUCCGGAAUUACUGGGCGUAAAGGGCACGCAGGCUGUGCUGUAAGUCAGCUGUCAAAAGAUGCGGCUUAACCGUGUUUCGCAGUUGAAACUGCAGUGCUGGAGUACUGAAGAGGCAAGUGGAAUUCCCAGUGUAGCGGUGAAAUGCGUAGAUAUUGGGAAGAACACCGGUGGCGAAGGCGACUUGCUGGUCAGUAACUGACGCUGAGGUGCGAAAGCUAGGGGAGCAAACGGGAUUAGAUACCCUGGUAGUCG